GUAGUGGUAACUCAGUGGUAGAACCCUCGCCUUUCAUGCAGGGAACCCAGGUUUAAUUCCUGGCCAAUGCA
rnacentral:tRNA from 1 species